rnacentral:rRNA from 1 species
UUGGACAAUGGGCGAAAGCCUGAUCCAGCAAUGCCGCGUGAGUGAUGAAGGCCUUAGGGUUGUAAAGCUCUUUUACCCGGGAUGAUAAUGACAGUACCGGGAGAAUAAGCCCCGGCUAACUCCGUGCCAGCAGCCGCGGUAAUACGGAGGGGGCUAGCGUUGUUCGGAAUUACUGGGCGUAAAGCGCGCGUAGGCGGCUUUGUAAGUUAGAGGUGAAAGCCCGGAGCUCAACUCCGGAACUGCCUUUAAGACUGCAUCGCUAGAAUCGUGGAGAGGUGAGUGGAAUUCCG